rnacentral:rRNA from 1 species
GCGUGAAUGAAGAAGGCCUUAGGGUUGUAAAGUUCUUUCACCUGUGAAGAUGAUGACGGUAGCAGGAGAAGAAGCCCCGGCUAACUCCGUGCCAGCAGCCGCGGUAAGACGGAGGGGGCUAGCGUUGUUCGGAAUGACUGGGCGUAAAGGGCGCGUAGGCGGUCUUUUAAGUGAGGCGUGAAAGCCCCGGGCUUAACCCGGGAAGUGCGCUUCAUACUGAAAGGCUUGAGUACGAGAGAGGAAAGUGGAAUUCCUAGUGUAGAGGUGAAAUUCGU